ensembl:snRNA U6 U6 spliceosomal RNA
AAGCCUAAGGGGCUGCUCCCAAAUUAAUUGGAAUGAUACAGAAUAGAUUAGAAUGGCUCCUGCACAAGCAUGACACGCAUGUUUGCAAAGCCAAUUUGAGGUUU